rnacentral:rRNA from 1 species
CAGUCGCCGCGGGAAUACGGAGGGUGCGAGCGUUAAUCGGAAUAACUGGGCGUAAGGGGCACGCAGGCGGUGACUUAAGUGAGGUGUGAAAGCCCCGGGCUUAACCUGGGAAUUGCAUUUCAUACUGGGUCGCUAGAGUACUUUAGGGAGGGGUGGAAUUCCACGUGUAGCGGUGAAAUGCGUAGAGAUGUGGAGGAAUACCGAAGGCGAAGGCAGCCCCUUGGGAAUGUACUGACGCUCAUGUGCGAAAGCGUGGGGAGCAAACAGGAUUAGAGACCCCCGUAGUCCCUGUCUCUUAUAC